AUUGAACGCUGGCGGCAGGCCUAACACAUGCAAGUCGAGCGAGCGGCGGACGGGUGAGUAAUGUAUGGGGAUCUGCUCGCUCGAGGGGGAUAACUCCUGUAAACAGUGGCUAAUACCGCAUACUAUCGAAUGAGCCGAUAUGGGAUUAGCUAGUUGGUGGGGGAAAGGCCCACCAAGGCGACGAUCCGUAGCUGGUCUGAGAGGAGGAUAAGCCACACUGGAACUGAGACACGGUCCAGUCUCCUACGGGAGGCAGCAGUGGGGAAGAUUGGACAAUGGGCGCAAGCCUAAUCCAGCCAUGCCGCGUGGAUUAAGAAGGCCUUAGGGUUGUAAAGUACUUUUAUCGGGAAAGCGUUACCCGCAGAAGAAGCACCGGCUAACUCCGUGCCAGCAGCCGCGGUAAUAC
rnacentral:rRNA from 1 species